AAAAAGCACUACGUCACUGUGAAAUGGAUGCUGAGGUGGCUGCUUUGCUGUUACUGGACAACAAUACCGAGGCACUCUUUGUCAGCAAUUGUAGUGAUAAUAAACAUAUGGUAUCAACAGAAAAUUCUAUUGUGUAGGUCCAGUCUUAGAAGAUUCAGAUGCCAUUGAUUUACCAAUGCCUGAACCCAGUGAUUUUGAUCAGGACACCACAAGAUCACAG